rnacentral:lncRNA from 1 species
AAACCAGCAAAUACAUUUAUGAUGUAGUUGAAAAAAGUGCAUGUAUACGCAUUAAUUGCACAGUAGAUGAAUCAAGAUUAAAGCUGAAUAAAGAUCAAUUAACUGUAGACUGCCCAGAAGGUGAUGAUGCCAUCCGCAGGUGGUGGUGACAGAAGAAACAUAGGUUGAAGUGGCUAUGGAGCAGGCACAGAUUGCUGCACAGAUGCAGGCGUAUUGCCCCCAUUUUUAGUGUAAACUUCUUUCCUUCAUUACCAUGCCCAGUUUAUUGGGGAAGAUUUAUGUCUUUGUUAGCUAAUGCUUAAUGGGUUCCUUGCAUAACAUGCAUAAUUAGAACUACAUAAUGAACGGAACAGAAAAUUGUACAAUAGAAAAAUUCUGAGAUCAAUUUUAUUAUUUAGAGAUACAUUCAUAAAUUUAUCAAAUCUAUAUUUUCGGCUCCUCCAUCAGAUUUGAUAAGUUCUUUUUUCCUCCCAAUUCGACUUCCUACAAUGUUCACAAAUAUCUAUAGUAGAGUUUAUUGAUUGACUAGAUUUACACUGUGAGGAAUAUGAUUUAACAGUGACACCACCUAUAAUACUUUCCAUUUUUGUCAGUGAACUAAAGUACUGAACUUCCUGCUAAUUGCCUUCCUGAUAUUUCUCACUUUCCAAUUUCAGAAGUUUCAAGUUUUCG